rnacentral:tRNA from 1 species
AGUAAAAUGUCUGAAUUUAAGGUGAUAAAUUGUAAAUUUAUUUAUGGAUAUAUAAAGUGUCUUUUUACUA